GGGAGACGCUUCCACGUGGGGGCGCUGGAGGACGCGCGCUGGGGUCUGCGGCUGCAUCGAGGUGCAGGAACCCAUAUCGCAGGCUGACCGAGACCCCAUCGGGCCCCCUCCAGCCCCGCCACCCCCUUCCAGGGUCCUGAGCCAAGACAGGGAGGGGCGUUACAGGAAAAACCAGGUCGGAUAAACUGAGAGAAGGAAGAACAAAGCUGGAAAGACCAGAGAACAGGGGCGCGUCCCCCACAAACACUCCAGCAGCCAAGAGGCGACGGAGCCUGUGGCCAGCAGCAUCCUCAGGCGGAGAGGGCUCCCGGAGGGUCCCCGAUUCAGUUGCACCCACCAUGCUGCCCUGCCUGGCCACGCUUCUCCUAGCAGGGCUGUACGUGUGCGCCUCGGCAGGCCACGGCGGAGAGAAACUGGCACUCGGCACUGAAGAGAGGCCCUGGGUGACCGUGGCCCUGGAGGAGGUCCCCGUGCCCAGCAUUCAGCUCCAGCUGCAGGAGGCCAGGCGGUUCUUUGGGCUGAUGGGGAAGCGAGUGGGAGGUGUACCUCGCAUCCAGCCAGAGCCAGCAGGGCAUCAACGGGGACGAGCGGUCCAAGGCCUCCUGGGCAGGGGAGGAAUCUCCACAGAAGAGCCCUCCCCAGGCACAGAGGAUGAGGACCCACGUUCAGAGUGACAGGCCCCACAGGAUGCUUCCCUGAGGAUGCCUGCCCCUCUUCUCUUCCGGGUGUCACAGUGGACCAGGCAGCAGGCUGACUCUACCCUCUGUCUUCUAUCCUUGACCCUGGCAUUUCAAGCCAGGCCCACAGUGAACUCAGUGAGUUUCUUCUAGGACUCACUCUCACUGUCGAGCAGUGGCGGUGUACGGAUGUGCUGUGUCACCCUCAAGGGCUGGAGGGACCCCGCCCUCUUCCAUGGCAGCAUUAUGGGGACCAGCUCAAACUCUGUACCCCACACCUGGCACACAGUCGGGGCCCAAUAAAUGAAUGGCCAGUGAGUGGCUUCCUGUGUGAUGCGGGCAGAGGGCAGGAGGCCGGCAGGCCAGGAGGGCUUUUCCAGAACUGCAAAGACUACACAGCCCAGGGACUGUUCUCAGGUGGGGAGAAAAGCUUGGGACACAGGCGGAGUUGGGAAGCAUGGGGCAGAGCGGAAGCCCCAAAGCCCAGCCUGAAAGAAGACAGUGUUCCCCGCUCAUGUCUCCUGUGGAGGGGAACUGGGUCCCAGGUCUUUCGCCAGCUCUCCUGUGCAAGGUGACCCCGCAACUCCUGCUUGGCUUUCAGGUGUGGCCCCCUGCAAAGGGCUUCUGAGGAAUAGAACAACUCCCACCUCCCAUCAGCCUCUGGGGGACAGGCCCUUGUCCCUGUGCUGGUUUAGAGGCAGGGAGGACACAAAGGACUCCAGGAUGCUUGGAAAGGCCACAGCCCAAAAUGAAGCCCUAGGGGAAACCUAUGAGAGGGGCUGGACCUCAGCUGAGCCGGAUGUGGGGUUCAGCAGUAAACAAGAUGUAUUUAUUCACUAGACUACAAAAUGCGUAGCUUCUCUGUGCCCCCCUCUCCAAUGAGAAAAUGGGUUAGUUUUUCUGGGCAUGUAAUUUUUUUUUUUAACUUCCUGUUACUGGGGAUUGAACCCAAGGCCCUUGCCUCAAACUGAGCUACAUUCCCAUCUCUUGUUUUGGGAGACAGGGUCUCCCUAAAUUGCUACACUGCUAAAUUUCUUAUGCUGUGCUACCAUACUUGGCCUAGGCAUUUGAUUGUGCUAAGGCACAGGGAAUGGAGGUCAUGGUAGGAUGUGUUUUAAAAGGAAAAGAAAGCCAGGAGUGGUGGCACAUGCCCAUAAUCCAGAACUCAGGAGGCAGGACCAGGAGGACUGCCACGAGUUCAAGGCCAGCUUGAACUGCAUAGUGAGAUCUUGUCUCAAAAAGUCAAAACUAACUAAAUAAAUAGAUGGAGAGGAAAGCCAAGCACAGUGGCGCAUGGCUGUAAUAAUUCCAACUAUUUGGGAGUCUGAUAUAGCCAGAUCAUGAGUUCAAAUCCAGCCUUAGCAAUUUAGCAAGAUCCUGUGUCCAAAAAGAGUUGGAGCUGAGAAGCUGAGGCAAGAGGAUCACUAGGUCAAACCCAGGCUGGGUAACUCGUCGCCUUGAGACCCUGCCUCAAAGUAAAAAUUAAAAAGGGCUGGAGAUGUUGCUCAGUGCAAAUGCCCGGGGUUUGAGCCUAGGGGACAGUUAAGUGGCAGAGAACUUGCUUUGCUUGCACAAAGCCCAGGGCUCAAUCCCCAGCACGGGGGGGGGGGGGGGGGGGGGGUCGGGAGAGACACUGACUUAGGGAAGUGAUAGCGGCUUCCUAGUUGACACGGUCUGUUCUCAGACUCAGCAUGUCCCAACUCUGGCAUUUGGUCUGCGUCUCCCUGAAUGGCACCUGAUAUAGUCAGCUGCCAAGGAGGUACCCACUCCUCACCCAUACCUCCCCUGGCUGAUCUCCCCGAAUCUACCUCAAACUCAUCCACCUUUGCCACCCUCUCACUGCUAACGGGAGCCACCUCUACCCAUUGCUAGCGCACAGUGGCCUCUCGACAGGCCUCCUCUGUCCAUUUUACUACCAGCCACCCGCCCUGUUCUUCCUCCUCUCUGACCUUUCAAAACGGGAAACCAGAUCACGUUCAGCCCUUCUGGCUGAGAUGAGGAACACUGUCCUCGGCUCAAGGCCUUGUGCUCUCUGGUCUCUCCCUGAACAGUGACGCUCACCACCAGCGUCUUGACUCAGACACCACACUCCCGCUGCCUGGGGUCCCGACACAGCCCUGAUCUCUGCUCCUCCCAGAAUGCUCAGCUCCCAGAACAAAGGCCCCUUUAAGAUUCAGCGGCCUAGUUCCCAAGCUUGACUAAUUCCCUUCUGCCAUGCUUUGACAAUACAUUGUCCCUCUCCUUUAUCGAUCCUAUUAGAAAUAAAAUACACUUAGCUUCUGUUUUCUCCAGGAGAUUGGCAGUCAUUUGUGUACCAGUACAUAGCAUACUCUGGGCCGCUGCGGUGGCACCCACAUUUACUGACUGAAUCUAUGUCAAGCAUUCUGCGGGUGACAGUGAACCACACACCUGAAAUUACAGAGCAAACGAGGGCCAGGCACUGAGCCGAGAUGGUUUUACACCACAUAUCCCCAGCCUCCACACUGCCUAGUCUCGGGUGCUAUUUAUUACAGGAUGGGCCCAAAGGAACUGCUUUUUAGCUGCGCCCAUUUCCCAAAGCCUGAGCCCCCACGUACCAGCCCAAGAGGCUCCUUCCUGAUGAAAUCAUUUUAGGAACUGUUACACCCUCUCUUCCUCUUGGAAAACCCCCAAUGCCCAUCGGCAUCCUGAAGGUUUGGAGAAGCCUCCAUAAGUCAAGAAACAUACCAAUAUUUCACUUGGGGUUUUCCAAAUUUAUUCGACCACAGUACCCUUCUGCUCAUACUUUGGUAUUUAAUGGAACACAUUUGGGGACUGCUGGCAUAGAGGCUUUCCCAGUAAAGACAGGGGACGAGUGGGCCGAUCUGACAGCAGGCGGAGGCAAUGUGUGAGGGAUGACAGAAGCUAUGUGGGUCGAGUCAGCUUACGGAAAGGCUUGGAAGCCAGGAUAAACACGAAGCAAGCCAACGAGCCAAAUACAUUCUUGAGCAAGGAAGCGACAGGUCCAUCUUCACUCUUCCUGACCCACUUAGGGAGGUGGCUAAGACUUAAGGUCAACCAGAGGCCUCAGAGGAAUCUGACCGACGGUGAUAAUGCUGAGUGGCCAACCUGGGGCUGGACGGACUCCGAGUGUUACGUACAUGAGGUUGGCUCAAGGUGGGCGUUCUCCUCGGCGCAUACCUUCCAAUCACAGGCCGUCAGCUGAUGGUGACAAGAGGGCCAACCCCAACCCUAGCCGUCUGGUUUCGGUGCUGUCUAUGGAAUCACUCCAAAGCAUGACUUAGAGCUGUAUACCUCCCGAUUUCAUAGAUCGCUGGGUCUCAGCUGGAUAUUUUGUUAGCUUCCGGUGGCACCAGUAGGGGGCGCUCGCAAGGCUGUGUUCUGGGAUGGCCACCUCCAGGAGGUUUUAGCUGGAGCACCUCAGCUCACCCACCGUGGUGUCACAGGCUUCCUCCUCUCCCAGCAGUCUACCUCAAGCUCCCAGUUCAGAAACACAUCAGCUGAACAGCAAAACGCAGAAGCUACUAGAAUAUCACUUCCACAGCGUUCGUUGGUCAAGACGUGUCAGGAGCCAGCCCAGCCCGCGCUCGAGAGGAGGAAAAGCAGACCAGUUAUUGGAAGGAGCAGCUCACCCAUGCAGGCGUGGAGCAACUGUUGGCUUUGGAGAUACCUAGGAAGAGAUUUUUCUGAUCACUUUGGAAUAAGUGGGGGUGCUGUUCUCGGAAACAAGCACAAAGACUGGCUUCUUGGAAUGAACGUGACUUGUCGAGGGUAAAGGUGUCACAGGGAACACUUGGGUGGAGCCGUGGGCCAAAGUUGAACAACAGCAUGGGUUAUUUUCUCCACUCUUGGGCACAAAUAAACAAACCCCCAGCCCCCAGAUGGUGGCAGCAUGGCCUGUAUGUAAUGGUAUUGCCCAAGAGGGAAGAGACAGAGCGACGUCCUGGCUUUGAGGCAUUUUCACCACUGGGCAAUCCUGUUUCCUUCUUAGUGACAUUUGCUGGCUUGGUUGAAGACACCACAAGGGAAGGGAGCAAUUGGGCUGCCCCCAUCAGCAGGAAACGGUCUGCAAGGGGCAGCCAUCCACGUUUGCAGCCAAAGUGCUGGAGAAAAAUGAGUUGAGGUCCAACUCUAGAAUUCCAUGAUCCCAACGAACAGCAAAGGUCGUUUCUAAAAUUCCCAGCACACAUCACAGACUAUUAUUUAGCAGAAGGGGUUGUCGCAGUCCAUACUCGUGGCACACAGACCUGUCCAUUUUGUCCUUGUGUCCUGGUGCGGCCCACCGGGAGGAAGGAAGCUAAUACCAAGCCAGGCUUGUCCUUGUACCUCACCGCAGGUAGCAGGACCAGGUACUCAAGCCCAGGCACACUAAAGAUCAAGCUUAGGGCCUCGGGGGAAGAGCAAGGCAGGUGGAAAGCAUUCCUGGGGCUUUUCAAACCAGAGCUGCUUAACCUCCUGUCCAGGAAUGACUUCAAAGGCAUAGUUUCCUGAACUGCAAAUGUGCUAUUUGCAUAGGGGCAUUUUUUAAAAAAAUCCAGUGCUUUGAUCAGAUUCCCA
ensembl:lincRNA